rnacentral:rRNA from 1 species
UACGGGGGGGGCAAGCGUUGUUCGGAAUUACUGGGCGUAAAGGGCUCGUAGGUGGCCAACUAAGUCAGACGUGAAAUCCCCCGGCUUAACCUGGGAACUGCGUCUGAUACUGGACGGCUUGAGUAUGGGAGAGGGAUGUAGAAUUCCAGGUGUAGCGGUGAAAUGCGUAGAUAUCUGGAGGAAUACCGGUGGCGAAGGCGGCAUCCUGGACCAUUACUGACGCUGAGGCGCGAAAGCUAGGGGAGCAAACGGG